rnacentral:rRNA from 1 species
AGCAGUCGCCGCGGUAAUACGAAGGGUGCAAGCGUUACUCGGAAUUACUGGGCGUAAAGCGUGCGUAGGUGGUGGUUUAAGUCCGUUGUGAAAGCCCUGGGCUCAACCUGGGAAUUGCAGUGGAUACUGGGUCACUAGAGUGUGGUAGAGGAUAGUGGAAUUUCCGGUGUAGCAGUGAAAUGCGUAGAGAUCGGAAGGAACAUCUGUGGCGAAGGCGACUAUCUGGGCCAACACUGACACUGAGGCACGAAAGCGUGGGGAGCAAACAGGAUUAGAUACCCGCGUAGUCCCUGUCUCUUAUAC